rnacentral:rRNA from 1 species
AACGGCCGCAGUUAAUUAACUACGUGAAAGUAGCGUAACCUUGUCUUUUAAAUGAAGACUUGUAUGAAAGGUAUCACGAGAGCUUGACUGUCUCAUCUCCUCAAUCAGUGAAAUUGAACUUCUCGUGCAAAUGCGGGAAUAAAAACAUAAGACGAAAAGACCCUGUGGAAUUUUAGAAGCCAAACAAUUUUGUAACUACUCACUUAUAUAAUUAUGCAUUAACUUCUUAGGCUGGGGCAGCCCUGGAGAGAAAUAAAACCUCCAUAAAUCACUUUUAAAUAGAACCUACAAAUUUAACUUCCAAAGCCUCUGUUUAACUAACCAGUAAAAGACUGAUCACGAACUAAGCUACCCCAGGGAUAACAGCGUAAUGCCCUUCGAGAGCCCUUAUCCACAAGGGAGUUUACGACCUCGAUGUUGGAUCAGGACAUCCUAAU